AUAAAGGUUGUAUUAACAACCAUAAAAAUAUAUAUUUUUUUAAUCU
rfam:Musca domestica strain aabys unplaced genomic scaffold Scaffold3345, whole genome shotgun sequence.